UUGAGGCAAAGUUCUGAGACACUCCGACUCUGAAUAUGAUAGAAGUCAGUGCACUACAGAACUUUGUCUCUAG
rfam:Ailuropoda melanoleuca scaffold459_148, whole genome shotgun sequence.